AUUGAACGCUGGCGGCAGGCCUAACACAUGCCAGUCGAGCGGCGCGGCGGACGGGUGCGUAAUGCCUAGGAAUCUGCCUCGUCGUGGGGGAUCACGUACGGAAACGGGCGCUACUACCUCAUCCUAUCAGCUGCGCCUAGGCCGGAUUAGCUAGCUGGUGGGGUAAUGGCAUACCAAGGCGACGAUCCGUAACUGGUCUGAGAGGAUGAACAGUCACACUGGAACUGAGACACGGUCCAGACUCCUACGGGAGGCAGCAGUGGGGAAUAUUGGACAAUGGGCGAAAGCCUGAUGCAGCCAUGCCGCGGGUGUGAAGAAGGUCUUCGGAUUGUAAAGCACUUUAAGUUGGGAGGCGUUACCAACAGAAUAAGCACCGGCUAACUUCGUGCCAGCAGCCGCGGUAAUUC
rnacentral:rRNA from 1 species